UACGUAGGGUGCGAGCGUUAAUCGGAAUUACUGGGCGUAAAGCGUGCGCAGGCGGUUUCUUAAGCCAGUCGUGAAAUCCCCGAGCUUAACUUGGGAACUGCGAUUGGAACUGGGAGACUAGAGUGUGUCAGAGGGGGGUGGAAUUCCGCGUGUAGCAGUGAAAUGCGUAGAUAUGCGGAGGAACACCGAUGGCGAAGGCAGCCCCCUGGGAUAACACUGACGCUCAUGCACGAAAGCGUGGGGAGCAAACAGG
rnacentral:rRNA from 1 species